GGCGGGUUAGCGUAAUGGUUAACGCGUCAGUUUCCGGCCUACCGGGAGGUAGCUGAAGAUUCCGGGUUCGAGUCCCGGGCCUGUCG